rnacentral:rRNA from 1 species
GGAUUAGAUACCCUGGUAGUCCAUGCCGUAAACGAUGUGUGCUAGACGUUGGAAAUAUAUUUUUCAGUGUCGCAGCGAAAGCAUUAAGCACACCGCCUGGGGAGUACGACCGCAAGGUUAAAACUCAAAUGAAUUGACGGGGACCCGCACAAGCAGUGGAGCAUGUGGUUUAAUUCGAAGAUACGCGCAGAACCUUACCAACACUUGACAUGUUCGUCGCGAAACUAAGAGAUUAGUUUCUUCAGUUCGGCUGGACGAAACACAGGUGCUGCAUGGCUGUCGUCAGCUCGUGCCG